GAUGAACGCUAGCGGCAGGCCUAACACAUGCAAGUCGAGGGGUAGUCCAGCAAUGGAUGAGACCGGCGCACGGGUGCGUAACGCGUAUGCAACCUACCUUUCACAGGGGAAUAGCCCAGAGAAAUUUGGAAUCAUGCCACAUGGCAUAUUGAGAUGGCAUCAUCAUGAUAUUAAAGAUCCAACGGUGAAAUAUGGGCAUGCGUCCCAUUAGUUAGUUGGUAAGGUAACGGCUUACCAAGACGAUGAUGGGUAGGGGUCCUGAGAGGGAGAUCCCCCACACUGGUACUGAGACACGGACCAGACUCCUACGGGAGGCAGCAGUGAGGAAUAUUGGACAAUGGGCGCAAGCCUGAUCCAGCCAUGCCGCGUGCAGGAAGACGGUCCUAUGGAUUGUAAACUGCUUUUGUACGGGAAGAAACACUCCGACGUGUCGGAGCUUGACGGUACCGUAAGAAUAAGGAUCGUCUAACUCCGUGCCAGCCGCCGCAGUAAUAC
rnacentral:rRNA from 1 species